rnacentral:misc_RNA from 1 species
UCUCCGUAGGUGAACCUGCGGAGGGAUCAUUACAGAGUUCAUGCCCUACCGGGUAGAUCUCCCACCCUAUGUUAUUAUUACUUUGUUGCUUUGGCGGGCCGUUAGGCUCCGUCCCGACUACCGGCCCCGGCUGGUAAGCGCCCGCCAGAGGACCCAAAACCCUGAAUAUUAGUGUCGUCCGAGUACUAUAUAAUAGUUAAAACUUUCAACAACGGAUCUCUUGGUUCUG